CAAAAAAAGAGGUUAAAUAUUGUGAUCAUGCCUAUCAUCAUUAUGAUGCCUAUAAGACCAAAUGUGGGGCAUCUGGUUAUCACUCCAAAAUGAGGUAAUGACCACACGUUCAACGCGGAUCAUUCGCUUUGUCAUCGAACUUGACUCAUUCCAUCUUCUGGAUUGCUUAGGAAAGCUGAUUGGUGUUACCUGUCCAUUUAGGUAAUGACCGAGAAGAUGCGGCCUACAUGAACAUCAUUUAGGCGGCCAGCAUC